CCGAUCCACCAAGAUCUCUGAGUGCUGCUUGGUUUUUCUGCCACCGUUCCAGCCUGGUUCCAUAACAUAUUUGGUUCCCUGACUGAGAAACCUAACCGCGCUGGCCCAUUGUUGCCACUGGUUUGGAAGAAUGGCUAGGCUGUGACGGAGCAAGGAGCAAGGAAUCAUAAAGGAGAAGGCGUGUCCUGACUGAAUUUUGGCAGUCCCCUGUUCAGUCACCUGGGGCUGGCCGUGUUCUGUCGUUCCUGCUGGACUCAAAGAGACCUGGUGCGACUCAUCCAUAGCAAGCAGAGUCAGGCAAAGGUUUUAGCAGCUUUAUCCGGAGAUUCACCCAGGGAGCCAAAGAAGAAACUCACCACUCCCCUAGUGUUUGCAUGACACCUGGAGGAAGAUCCCGUCUUUCUGCCACCUUAUGACUCACCAGGCUCCCUCCCCCAUGCCCCUGAGCUUGAAACUCCUCCCCCAUCUGUCUCUCCUCUGCUGCCACUGCUGCCCAUGUCUCCUCACCUCCUGCACCCAGAGAACCCUCCCCGGGAGACAAGGGCCAGCAGCCAGACCGCACCCCAGACCCAGACCUAAAGCUCUCCAAAUGCCUGUAAGGGAGAUGAGAGCCUGAAAGACAGAAUGAGGAUGGAACAGUCCAGCCAGCCAUUCCAUGAUGUAUUAUCAACCUUUCUCUACAACCAACCUCCUCAACUGGAAACACAAUACUCCAUCAUACUCUGAAAAGCCACAAGCAAUGGUCAACUUGAUGGAGUCCCUCUUCCAGACCCACCGACUGACUUGGGAAGAUAGUCAACAGUUAUUCCGUACUCUGUUUAAUACAGAAGAAAGAAGAAGAAUGAGAGAAACAUGACAGUAUCCAGAAGAUCACACACCUCCGGGGAUCAAUGAUCCUGCUGUCUGGGCUCAAGCUGCUGUGCCUGAAGAACGCCCAACAUGGGAUUUCACCACAGAAGGACAAGCCCACAUCCGAUGAUACCAGGAAGCCCUCCUUGGGGGAAUCCAAGCUGGAGCCAAAAAGCCCGUGAACAUGACUAAAAUACCAUCAGAAGAAAAUUCCAGAAGUUGGAGGGCUUUGCCGGGAUGAAUAUCAAUCAGCUGAUAGAGGUUGCCAGUAAAGUUUCAUGAACAGAGAAGUCACAGCCAAAAGAGAAGCAGAGAGAAGACUAAAAAAGAAGGCCACCUUUCUCGCAGCAGCACUAAAAGAAACAGACGCUGUGAAGAUGGGAAGACCCCAACCACCAAAAGGGGGGAAGACCAGAGCCCCCCUUAGCAAGGGACCAAUGUGCAUACUGCAAAUAGAAGGGACCCUGGAAAAAUGAAUGUCCAAAUUGGAAGGGCCCCUCAAAGCCCUGCUGAUAUCGGGAAGAACCUCGAGGCGAGAACCUCAUCGGUCUGGCCGGGAUAGAAUCAGACUGAAGGGACAGGGCUCUUUCUCUCUUGGCCCCCAUGAAAUGAAAGUAGGGGGCCAAACAAUAAAUUUCAUUGUUGACACUGGA